rnacentral:lncRNA from 1 species
AGACAGGCCCUGCUAUGCUGUGACCACCACUACAGCAGCCCCAUUCUCCUUGCUGUGCUACUCACCUGGGGGUUGCUGAGCCAGCAGGGCCUCCGGAUGGGGUAGACUGAAUAGCAGUACUUUCCCGUCUGAGCAGGCCAGAGCCAAGAGACCCAACCGGGGCAGGAGAGGAGCCUAAAGGGUAAAAGGGCUGGAGAAAAGAGCCACAUAUUGCGAGGCUCCUGCCCCCUCUGGCACUGGGCACCAGUCCAGAGCCCAGAGCGGUCCCCCCGUGAAGAAGGACACAUCCCAGCGCUCUGGAUGUGCUGUGAUCGAGCUAAAUCUAGAGAAAAAUCAAAGAUGGGAUGAAGAAAGGAAUUAAUGAAAGAAUCAGAAAAAAGGGCGGAUGUGCAAUCUUCACCUGUUUAUUCGGUAGAGGGUGCCAUCUUCAGGUAGCCCUUCACGUUGUACAGAAAACAAUGGAGACUUCUCCUCCUGGGGCAGCCUCAACCUGGAGAAAAAAGUCUUCAUCCCGUGGAGCACCAUCCACCUCUUCUCCACCUGGACAGGCUGCUGGCUGCCGGAUCUUCUUCGGUUUGGUGGGGCUGCUCACCUUGGGGCCCUCAGGACAGGACACAGGGGCAGGCAGGGCUGUUGAGAGCUCUUCAGCCAGUUCCUGAAGAUACAGAAGUGCCCUGUGGGAACGGACAGAGUCAGAGCCAUUCUCACAUAUGACUGAGAACCCACGUUUCCAGACAUGGUUGAUUUUUAUCUCAAUGGAGCCUCCCAAUAACCCCAUGAUUAACCAAUUAACUCUAUUAAUUUCCCCUUCCCCCUUGGAAGAUGAAAAACCAGAAAUCUAAGUUAUGUGACUUGGCCGAGAUGACUGAGAUAACAAAUGUGGAAUCUGAACCCAGGUCUUCUCACUCCAAGUUCAAUACAUUUUUCAUCCUACCACAGUCAAAGAACACAGAGGGCAAGAGAAAGAAUGGAACAGAAUAUAUAUACUGACAUAUACUGGACAGUAAAACAAUAAAGAGCUGGGUAAAGUUUGUGAAAAA